UGAAAUAAACCCAAAUCCAAACCUCAAAUCAAGACCCAUCCAAGCAGCCUUAUAAAAAAAAGAAAGAAAACAGGAAGCAUGCAGGCCCGUGGAGCAAGAACAGUCUGAACCCAGUUUGGGUCUCGAUUUGAUUGCGCCGGAGCAUCAUUGGGCAAGGGAUGCGUACGGAGAGGACCUGGGCAUGGCGAAAUACAGCUCCUUCUCCGACGCCGGGCAACGCUGCUCCUCACUGCGCCGAGGACCGAGUUAGGUUCGCAUAGAACGUGUAGGCCGACGAGUUCUUCUUCCUGGCUGUCUGUCGCGGUUCGGCAGUCGGAUCUCAGUUUGGGCGCUCGACGGUGCUCCGACGGGGUGGCAGAGCGCCUCACGAUGCUGCAGCCUGCAGGUGGACCUGCUCAACCGGGCCACCGCGCCGCCUUCGACGACUACGACAGCAUCACCCACACCGUCUCGCUGAUGCACAACAACCAGUGCCGCCGCUGAUGAUGCUCCGAUGAGUCUGGGAGCAAGGUGCAGGGCGGAUUUGGCGCGGCGGCAGACGUCGGAACAGUGGAUCCAAGGAAAAGGCACUGGAAACCAGUAAAGUCUCCCCAAUGCCCAAUACCCGGUUUCUUCGAGUCUCAAUUCUUGUGAAGACUCGGUUUCGUGAGAAAGAAACCGUUUCUCUCUUUUCUAAUCUCUAUCUUCAUUGAUUCUCUUGUCACGUCAGCAAAAAUGAUGAGUUAUCAAUAUAUUCAAGAGAGAUAGAAACUACAAUUAAUAU